AGAGUUUGAUCCUGGCUCAGAAUGAACGCUGGCGGCGUGCUUAACACAUGCAAGUCGAACGGUAACAGAACUAGCUUGCUAGUUGCUGACGAGUGGCGCACGGGUGAGUAAUAUAUAGUUAACGUGCCCCUAAGCCUGGGAUAGCCAUUGGAAACGAUGAUUAAUACUGGAUACUCCUUCUAACUUCAAUGUUAGUUGGGAAAGUUUUUCGCUAAGAGAUCGGCCUAUUUCCCAUCAGGUAGUUGGUAGUGUAAGAGACUACCAAGCCUAUGACGGGUAGCGGGUUUGAGAGGAUGAUCCGCCACACUGGUACUGAGACACGGACCAGACUCCUACGGGAGGCAGCAGUGAGGAAUAUUGCACAAUGGAGGAAACUCUGAUGCAGCAACGCCGCGUGGAGGAUGACGCAUUUCGGUGUGUAAACUCCUUUUAUAUGUCAAGAAAAUGACGGUAGCAUAUGAAUAAGCACCGGCUAACUCCGUGCCAGCAGCCGCGGUAAUACGGAGGGUGCAAGCGUUAUUCGGAAUCACUGGGCGUAAAGGACGCGUAGGCGGGAAGCCAAGUCUGAUGUGAAAUCCUAUGGCUCAACCAUAGAACUGCAUUGGAAACUGGUUACCUAGAGUAUGGGAGGGGGAGAUGGAAUUAGUGGUGUAGGGGUAAAAUCCGUAGAUAUCACUAGGAAUACCGAAAGCGAAGGCGAUCUCCUGGAACAAUACUGACGCUAAGGCGUGAAAGCGUGGGGAGCAAACGGGAUUAGAUACCCCGGUAGUCCACGCCCUAAACGAUGAACACUAGUCGUCGGAAUGCUAGUCAUUUCGGUGAUGCACUUAACAGAUUAAGUGUUCCGCCUGGGGAGUACGGUCGCAAGAUUAAAACUCAAAGGAAUAGACGGGGGCCCGUCUCAAGCGGAUAUAUUGAAUACUGAG
rnacentral:rRNA from 1 species